rnacentral:sRNA from 1 species
GCCACAUCGUGUUGAUCGGGAAACUCAUCAAAUAAAUUUCUUUACCGAGACAAGCUUCUUAUACCAAUGGCGGGCCACGCUUUCGAAAGGAAGAUGCUAUAUGCACGGUGGAUUACAAAGGUUUGGAGCCCUCAAAUCCUGUUUACAGGAGUUUCAUCACGUCCAGGUGUGGCUUUUUU